GUGGUCGAGCUUCCGCAAUAUUCCCAAGUUCUUUCGAUGGAUAAACUCCUGCAGCUCCUUCCACAAGUGUCGAUCGGAUUCUCCUGACGGACGAACUCCUGCCACAUCUCUCGGGCUUCUCCAACGAUAAGCUUCUUUAGUCGUCUAUCAGGCUGCUCCAAGUGCUCUCUAGAUUCCACUAUCAGCCGACCUCCUACAAUGGUCAACCAUUCUCCGGACCUCUUCCAAAUCUUUUCCAAUAGGAUUCGAUCGACUCCAAUCCAAAUUUCUUCCAGAACUUCGUCAGUGGCCGAACUUACCCAACAGCAGAUCUCCACGAUGGACGGACUCC
rnacentral:lncRNA from 1 species